rnacentral:tRNA from 1 species
GCCUGCUUGGUGGAAUUGGUAGACACAACAGACUUAAAAUCUGUCGCUUUAAAUGGCUUGCCGGUUCGAGUCCGGCAGCGGGUACCA